AUCUUAUUUAAGGAAAUAAUGAAGCACAUUAAUAAUGUAUUUAUUGUGGUUUAAUAAAAAAGUUAUUAUAUAUUUAGAUGGACCAACAUAUUUCUCUAAGGAUUCUAAGAAUCAUUCUAGUGAUGAUACGUGGCUACAAAAAAAUGUUGUAAUGCUUCUCAAAUAAUAUAUAGGGGAUACAAACAUGUAUACUUUUGUAGUUUUCAUGCUAAUUAUAAGAUUUUUAAAUGUGAAAUUAAAAAAAAAAACACAAGUUUCAAACGUAUUAGUGUAUUACCAUGUUCCUUUUAACAUAGUACUAUGUGUUUUGACUGCAAUACGGACAUGAUAAUCUCACUAAUAUUUAUCAGUAAAUCUAUUUUUUAAUUCAAAAACUAUUAUUAGAUAUCAAUAAAUAUGAAUAACAUAAAAUAUUAUUUUUCUUAAUUAAAAUUUAUUAUAAUGAUAAUUUUUAGAUGUUUAUAAUUAUUGAAUCCAUUAUAUAUAUUAUUAUUAUUAUUAUUCAGAAUUCUAUUUCUUUUUUUAUUCUAUAUAUAUAUCAAGAAAUUUAUCUUAAAUAUUACUUUUAGAUAAUAACACAAUAUACACGAUUUUUUUAAACAUGUUUUUAUAAACUUGUCUCACAAUUAAUUCAUGGUCAAUUUUUAUAAAAUUUAUAAAGAUUUUUUUUAUUCAUUAAGGGUGACAUAUACUUUAAUAGUUCUAACUUUUAACGUGAAAGUUUAAAACGAAAAAAAUCACUUCGUAAAUAAUAAUAUACACUAAUUAUAUUGUAAUAAAAUUUAGGAUUGAUAAUUAUUAACUUUGACCAUACAAGAUUUAGUAUUUAAGAUUUAUCAUACAAUAUACUCUCACCAUUUUUACUGAUGUCUUAAAGGUUUAUUGUUAUAUAUAAUUUGGUGUUCUAUAUGUUUGAUAUAAAUAUAUAAAUAACAUUUUAAUUUUACUUAUAUAAUAAAAUUCUACAAUUAAUAAUAUUGAAACUAUAUUUUUAUUAAUAUAUAAAUUAUUAAUUUCUAUAAUUUAAAUUUUAAAAUUUUAAAAUUUUGGAAUAUCUUUUAUGUGAAAAUAAGAAUAGUAAAUAAUUUUUAAAGUAUAUAAAUUAAUUAGAAUUUAAAAUAUUUAUUUAUGUUGUUUUCGAAUAUUUGGCAUGCAAAAACUAUGUAUUGUAUAAUGUAGAUGUAUUUUUGGGUGCAAAGUAACAAAUGUUUAGAAAUUUUUAUAAUAGACUUGACUGUAAAUAGAAAAUAAAUUAUACAGUUUUUAUUUUAUAUCUAUAUAAAUGUUACAUAACUGAAUUAAUAAUGUUUAUAUUAGAACUAUACAUAUACAUAAUGUUUUCUAAAUUUCAUUAUCUUAUUAAUUUAUCCAAGCUUUUGUCAAUUGUAAUAUUAUAAACUACAAGAAACAUUACAUAGAUAAUAUUGCAUCCGACAAUUCUACAUACCUCACGAGGAUUCAUAUUUAACUGCAUCAUCUCCGAAGUUGUCGUAUGAGAUCCAUUCAUAACAGUAUUGUUUGUGUCAUGAUGAAGAUCUCUCUGGUAAGUCUUUUGUCUUUGCUGAAAAUCGAAAACUAUAUUUUUCCGUGUAAAAACAUUAUCAAACCACUGGACCAAUGGGGUUUCCACCCUAUUAAUUUAUCCAAUUAUAUCAUAUUUUAGUACUAUCUUAACUUGAACUUUUAGAACUUCUAAGAACUAAGAACAUGUUUAUUGAGGAUUCUUAGAUUGGGGUUUUUAUCAGAAUAUAAGAAAUUGUCUCUAAAAACCCUCCAAUAAACAUGCUCUAAGCUCUAAGAUAGUAUAUAAUCUAGUGAUUCAGGACUGGAAACAGUAUAAACGUUUCCAAUGUGUAAAAUUUAUGUAAUCAACCAAUCAUAAUAUAAGGCUUGUACUUCUGUUUUGUUAUGGCUUUUGUUGGGCUUUUAGUGCAAUUUUAUAAACUUUACUAAAUACUAAGCCCAUUUCCAAGUUGUUUGGCAUCUUUAAAUUAUAACAGUGCUAGAUUCUUUUGUCCUACACACGUACAUCAGCUUUUCUUACACACGUACAUCAGCUAGGUUCGUGUCGCGGAUGACGUCGAUGACGUUAAAGAUGGGUAUCGAGCUUAUUGGUAAAGGGUCGAUGGCCUUUGUUUUCAUGUCAGUGUAUUGACGACAUUAAACACCAACUUUGUAAAUUUCCAUUAUUGUCAAAUAUUCUACAAAAGGAUACAAUGGAUUGUGGAUUAAAAGAAUAUUCCUUUUACAUGGAGUAUCCCACUAUAUAAAAGCAACUAAUUUCAAGCCUUCUUAAGCAUGCCACAUAUGAUAAAAUAUUUAGAACCAAUCAUUUAGUCAUGUCAUUAUGAGUUUCUUAAUGACAAAUUGCUGAGCCUCACAAAACCUUCACACCAAUUCAAUGUAUCAUUCCAGCCAAUAGCAUAUCAUAUUCCUCCCUCUUCGUUAACCCUAACUUCCACAAUUUUUAUACGCUUAAAAUAGUUAAGGCAAAUCACAAUACACCAUUAAAUAAUUCAUACCACCAUCUUUCAAAAUUCUGGCUAGAUAGAUACACUUUCUCCACUGUUCAGAGCCAUUAACACCUUAAUCAGAUCAAAAACCCCAACCUGACGACUCUCUUCAACUUCCCCAUCUCCAUCUAUAUAACCAUUUGGCCACUUACGAAGUUCAAGUAUUCUCCAAAGCUAUAUGAAAAUACCUACCGCAGCUAUGGCUGGACAAACUCCAACUCAACUGCACGAAACCCAGUCGAGGCGUGUUGAAGAAGAGUUAGAGUUUGUAUUAUGAUCAGAGUACGCAAAUUUCUGUCUAGAUCGGCCAUUUAGAUCCCUGCAACUGAAUCGCCACUGCCGAAGAGACGACGUAGCAGAAGAUGAAAGAUGUUUUUUCGUUCGAGAACUUUCGUAUUGAAUCUCUUCAUAAACUCUUGGUAAGCUUAUGUUAAGUUUAAUGUUCUAAAUCUGAUCUGAUUUGAUUCGAUAUUAUACAUCGACGAAAUUAAGCUUCUAAAUUUAGUCAUGAUAAUUGAUACUGUUAUGAAAAAUUCCUUUGAGAUUAGGAAGCAUAAGUAUAUUGAAGCUCCAGAUUGGUAAUGAUUUUUUUAAAAAAAAAAAUUAUUGCUCGAAUGUAUGGUUUGUCUAUGCUCUUUCUUGAUUAAUAGUGUUUGUAUGAUUUUUUGCAGAAAUGACAAAGCAAAUCUGCUCAAAUAUUAGCCACAGACCUGAAUGUUUUUGCGGCUUUCAACUAACUUUACAAAGAGAUCACUCAGCUUCUGACUCUAGAGAAUUUUAGAAGCUGAUCGAGGGAAAUCCUUUGUUUGAUGUGAAGCUUCCCUUUCCCAGUUUCAAGGUUUCCCAGCUCAGAACUUUGAUCAAUCAAAGGUGAAUUUCCUAUAUAUUUCUUCAAACAGAAGGGUCAAGUUUUCAAUGUUAUUUUGUGCGAAAUAUUACAUCUCGAAUUGGCAGAACCAGCUAUGUCAACGAGGCCAGAUCUAGAGUUCAACACAUCAACCAAAUUGACAAAAUUAUCCAUCUCUUUUUUGAUGUAUGCCAUCAAAAUUUAAUCUAAUCUUUAACUCGAGUCCUGAAAUGGCUUUUUGUUGCAGGUUGUACAAAGUCUUGAACAUUCUUGAGUUCAAUAGCACGAGGCAAAUUAUGCCAAUAAUAGUGCAUGAUAAAGAUGGGAAACUCUGACUACUUUUUGAAAAACCAAAUAAGUAAGUGUAACUGGUGAUUUCAUAUAACAAAGUAUACAUAUCUUCCUUUUCAAAUUAUUUUAUGCCACUUCCUUUUCAAAAAAUUUGGAGAAUGCAUGCUUGAUCAUUAGUAUAUUAUAUACAUCUGGGAUUGGUCAUAUAAUACACUGAAAACGUAACUCCAGUUGCUGACUCUUUAUGGGAUGUUAACGCAACGAUAUUGCUAUCUUUAUUACAAACUCAUGUUGGAUGUGAUCUUGACUUCAGGAAUCUUUUCUUUUCCUAGAUUGAUAAUUCUGGCAGCAGAAGCAUGUAAUACAAAGUUUGGAUAUUUAUAGUUAAUUAACUAACUUGUCAUGAUCUGUGUUUGUACCAGUUCAAAGUUGGGUGCACAAGGCAGGAAGCAACUGUGCUUAAUAAUGAUUUACUAUACACAUGAUUUACUAUAUUUACUCUGAAAUUCUAUCUGAAUAAAAUAUUUUCAUAUUUUUUUUUCAUUAAAACAUAUAUAUUUCAUUUUUUCAUUAAAAUAAACAUUUUGAAUAUUUAAGUAAUUUCAAAUUUAUUUAAAAUAAAUUUAUAUUUUAUUUUUCUUUUAAACAAAACUUUUAAAUAUUUAGUUAAUGUCGUAUUUAUUUUAAAAUUAAAUUUAUAUUUCAUUUUAACUAAAACAAAAUUUUAAAAUAUCUAACUAAUUUUGUUAUGGGCAAUUCUCUCAAAUAGAUCUUUUUUAUUUUUAAAAUUUUAAUAUUUUUUAGUUUUUAAAAUUUGAAAUCAUACCCCCAAAACCCCCCCCCCCUUAACUCUGAACCCUAAAUCAUAAACCCUAAAUUUUAAAUCAUAAACCCAAAAAUACACACCUUAAUAAAACUUUUUGGUCAUUUUGAUAUUUGAGGUCUAUAUUUGUGAUAAAAAAAAUUUUAGGUCUAUCCUAGGGAAUUUCUCUUUUGUAAUUACAACUAAAGACAUGUAUAGUUUUGUAUUAAUCUGUGAUUUAAUUUAAUAUAAUAUAAUACUUUUAAAAAAAAAAUUGAUCUUUCACCAGUAAAAUUUUUCAAUUUAGAAUAUUGUAUCACAUGAUUUAAAAUAUGCUUUCACUAAAAAUUUAAAACAAAUAAAAUAAAUUAUUGCAAAUGAACUAUAAAAUUAUUGUAUUUUAAAAUGUUUUAUAAACAAUUAGUAAUAUUGUAAAUGUAGUGGAAAAAUUUGUAAAUUAACAAAUUUGAAUCAUGUAAUCCGCGCGUAGCGCGGAAAACGAAUCUAGUAUUAUUUAAAAGUUAGAGAUAAACUACAACCAGAUAUCUUUUUUUUCUUAUAAUAUUCUAUUUUACAACAAACUGUAAUUCAUUAACAACAAAAUGUAUUUUUUACACCAAAAAAAAAAAACAAAAUGUAUUUUAACAUUUACACCCAAAAAAAACUUUCACUACAUUUUCAUUUUUUUUAA